CAGUAGCCGCGGGAAUACCGAGGGUGCGAGCGUUAAUCGGAUUUACUGGGCGUAAAGCGUGCGUAGGCGGCUUCUUAAGUCGGAUGUGAAAUCCCUGAGCUUAACUUAGGAAUUGCAUUCGAUACUGGGAAGCUAGAGUAUGGGAGAGGAUGGUAGAAUUCCAGGUGUAGCGGUGAAAUGCGUAGAGAUCUGGAGGAAUACCGAUGGCGAAGGCAGCCAUCUGGCCUAAUACUGACGCUGAGGUACGAAAGCAUGGGGAGCAAACAGGAUUAGAGACCCCUGUAGUCCCUGUCUCUUAUAC
rnacentral:rRNA from 1 species